UGCAGUUUUUUCCCUAACUCUUUUCUGAAACAACAAUAUCUCCACGUUUAUUAAACUAUCUUUUCCCAGACUAUCAGUAUGCUCCCUCCCUAUUCUGCCAACUUGGUAGACCUCCAAAAGCAUUUACUUUGAAAAAUUAGAGUGUUCAAAGCAGGCUGGAUCUGCCUGGAUACCACAGUUAGGAAUAAUGGAAUAGGACAGCGGUUCUCUUUUGUUGGUUUUUGGAGCUAAGACCAUGAUUAAGAGGGACAGCCAGGGUCAUUCAUAUUGCGCCACUAGAGGUGAGAUUCUUGGACCAGCGCAAUACGGACCAGAGCGAAAGCAUUUGCCAAGGAUAUUUUCAUUAAUCAAG
rfam:Oryctolagus cuniculus chromosome 11, whole genome shotgun sequence.